rnacentral:rRNA from 1 species
UACGGAGGGGGCAAGCGUUAUUCGGAAUUAUUGGGCGUAAAGGGCGCGUAGGCGGCUAAACAAGUCAAAGGUGAAAUCCCUCGGCUCAACUGAGGAACUGCCUUUGAAACUGUUUGGCUAGAGGCCGGGAGGGGGUAGUGGAAUUCCCAGUGUAGCGGUGAAAUGCGUAGAUAUUGGGAGGAACACCAGUGGCGAAGGCGGCUACCUGGACCGGUUCUGACGCUGAUGCGCGAAAGCGUGGGUAGCAAACAGG